AAUUCAACGUGUCUAACACGUGCUAACGGUCUACACUAUCAACGACACGCGACAGACACAUUACUACCCCGUGCUUAUGGAAAUACUGUAUACGCAGAGAUUUCUCGAAGCGAAAAUGGGAUCUAAAGAGAACAUGUGAUAUUCAAUCCUCGUCAAUCGCACAUAAUAAUUAAGAAAGCCUAUCAAACGAAAGAUGACGAGGACAGGUGAUAUUUGUGGCAAGGUCUCUUGAUAGAAAGUGUGGGAAAGUCGCGACAGCUGCGUUCACAAGGUCAACGAAAUUGAAAGCAUUGACAACCAUAACCAUUCCAAUAACAAAUUAUGAUGUUAAUGGAAAACUAGAGAGUCCAAAGUCCAGCGAGUGUAUUUAAAACUGUAAAGGCCUGAUGACAAUUCAGAAGUGUAGCAAAUAAAAUCAUUGACUGUUUAA